GGGUGAGAAGAGACCAACAAGAACAUAAGACCUGACAUGCUUGUGAAGAAUGACAGCAUUUUGCUUCUUAGGAAAGAAAAAUAUAUUUGAAGGAAAAGACAGAUAAUAUUCCAGAGAUUUUUAUUCCAGAAAAGACAGAUUUCUAUUCCAGAAAACACAGAGAAUACGUCCAUCUGAAAUAAUUUCCAAGAAAUCUUCAGAUCAGCCUGGAU
rnacentral:lncRNA from 1 species